rnacentral:misc_RNA from 1 species
AUCAAGAAAGUAGAGGAGAAGAUGGUUAAUGGGAAGGCGGAAGAGAAGGAAUUUGAUGCCGGAGUUGAUUUAAAGCAAACUGACAACAGGAAUGAGGAAAGGAACACUGAGGACCAAAAUGAAAAUACGGAUAAAGACCAGACUAAGGAAGAAAAGGUUGAUGACAAGACGGAGGGAAAUAAAGCUGAGAACAAGACCAACAGAAAGAAAGCUAAGGAUAAGAGUAAGGAAAAGAAGAAUAAGGACAAGAUCGAGGUCAAUAAGGUUAAGGAUCGGUUUGAGGAGAACAAAGAUGAGGACAAUGAGGAGAGGAAAACUGAAGAUAAAUUGGUGGUGGAGGAAAUUAUUAGUCAUACCACAGAAGAAGAGCCAAAAAGAACAGUGAAAUUAGUAUUUGGGGACGACAUAAGAUGGGCCCAAGUUCCUGUGGACUGCAGUAUCUUGACACUGAGGGAAAUCAUAGGUGAUCGUUUCCCAAGCUUAAAAGCUGUCCUAAUCAAGUAUAGGGACCAAGAAGGUGACCUGGUUACUGUGACAACAAACGAGGAAUUAAGGUGGGCUGAAGCUUCUGUUGGACAUGGUUCUAUAAGAUUCUAUAUCGUGGAAGUUAGUCCGGAGCAGGAUCCUUUCUAUGAGAAAAUCAAAGGGGUGGAAGACGAUCAUAAAUACAAUGCACGACAUGAUAAGAUUGUUGAAAAUGGAAAUGUGGAAACAAGCAAGGAAUUGCAUAAUGGACCAGUUUGCAUUAAUGAUUGGAUCUUCCAGUUCUCUAAUUUGUUCAAAAACUAUGUUGGAUUUGAGUCCGAUGAUUAUCUGGAUCUCCAUGAAGUUGGAAUGAAGCUAUACUCUGAGGCUUUGGAAGAGGCAAUUACAAGUGAAGAAGCUCAAUAUCUUUUCAGCACGGCUGGAGAAACAUUUCAGGAGAUGGCUGCUUUGGCAUUGUUCAACUGGGG